CUGCCUGCCUUCAGCAAAUGUGUUUCUGGCAGCGUACCCAGAUCAUCAUCGUAACAGUGACUCGACUACGACGAGCGCGGGUUUCCCCGUAGGUGCCGUCUCGAGGACUGCCUCGCGACGGAUUUCCAGGGGGCAGGGCAGCCAGGCACAGGUUUUGGUAUACCGUCCACCCUGGUACCUCCUCUUCCCUGGUAGCUUCUUCCACCCCAUGCUGCCUAUUUGGUGCUUGUAGAUCCGCGAAUCACGGAAGGGCGCUCCGUCCAUCGAUGUCGACCAGCAGAGAGGAGCCCAUGGGAGCUCUAUCCUUCCAGUAAUGAUGGCCGAAGAAGAGGGAACGGGCGGAGAUGACGUGCAGGGGAUAUCUCAUCUUGAAUUCUUGGAACAAUGGUGUCCGGUCGCGAUAACUCGGCGAGCAAAGAAGUUUUGGUCCAGCUCGACAAUGGGAACGGCACUGAUCCAUCUGUUUUCCAGCUCAACAAUGGCGCGUUGUCGAUGGAGCACGCGGCGGCUCUAAGCUGCUACCCCUUCAUGGAUCUUUCAUUUUUCAACUUUACAAGCUAGAACCAACAAGAGGAGUUCCUUCAGCAACUAUUUUCCAAGCUAUGGUAAUGCAAGCAAGCCAUGGAGUGCUAGUCAGGGGAUUGAUAACAAUACAGGGUAUGGUAGUGAUGCCAUGACUAGUGAGAUUAAUGCCAAGGGAGAUGACUGCUGUAAAGGGUAAACCAAAAUUUGAUCAUCCAGCAGAUAGUCUGAAUUCAUGGUUCAGCCAACUUGGGCAGCCGACAAGUACUCCAGCUUAUGAUGUCACUGUGUGUGCUCCUUAAAAUGCAUGAAACUAUUGGUUGAGGUGCAGUUACCUAUUCACAAAAACAACAAUGCCAAGCUCAUAUGUUUUGUGUUUAGGAUGUAGGUUUGCAAAGAUUACCUUUCAGCAAUAUUCUUAUACAGUGUGGUAAAGGCUCAAACAGAUCUGAAGUGUAUACUUGUUUCAAAGCAAUUGAAACUGUUGUGUGAUAAGUGACCGAGACCCAUUGUAUAAAUGAUGGUUCAUAAGACAGGUAGGCUAUAGUGUGUGUUGACUUCUAUGUAAUCUCUUACGUAUAGGUCGCAGACUGACCUCUGUUUUCAUAAUUAACCUCAUCUUCA